rnacentral:rRNA from 1 species
AUGCAAGUCGAGCGGCAGCGGAAAGUAGCUUGCUACUUUGCCGGCGAGCGGCGGACGGGUGAGUAAUGUCUGGGAAACUGCCUGAUGGAGGGGGAUAACUACUGGAAACGGUAGCUAAUACCGCAUAACGUCGCAAGACCAAAGAGGGGGACCUUCGGGCCUCUUGCCAUCAGAUGUGCCCAGAUGGGAUUAGCUAGUAGGUGGGGUAACGGCUCACCUAGGCGACGAUCCCUAGCUGGUCUGAGAGGAUGACCAGCCACACUGGAACUGAGACACGGUCCAGACUCCUACGGGAGGCAGCAGUGGGGAAUAUUGCACAAUGGGCGCAAGCCUGAUGCAGCCAUGCCGCGUGUAUGAAGAAGGCCUUCGGGUUGUAAAGUACUUUCAGCGGGGAGGAAGGUGUUGAGGUUAAUAACCUCAGCGAUUGACGUUACCCGCAGAAGAAGCACCGGCUAACUCCGUGCCAGCAGCCGCGGUAAUACGGAGGGUGCAAGCGUUAAUCGGAAUUACUGGGCGUAAAGCGCACGCAGGCGGUCUGUCAAGUCGGAUGUGAAAUCCCCGGGCUCAACCUGGGAACUGCAUUCGAAACUGGCAGGCUAGAGUCUUGUAGAGGGGGGUAGAAUUCCAGGUGUAGCGGUGAAAUGCGUAGAGAUCUGGAGGAAUACCGGUGGCGAAGGCGGCCCCCUGGACAAAGACUGACGCUCAGGUGCGAAAGCGUGGGGAGCAAACAGGAUUAGAUACUCUGGUAGUCCACGCCGUAACGAUGUCGACUUGGAGGUUGUGCCCUUGAGGCGUGGCUUCCGGAGCUAACGCGUUAAGUCGACCGCCUGGGGAGUACGGCCGCAAGGUUAAAACUCAUAUGAAUUGACGGGGG